rnacentral:rRNA from 1 species
UACGUAGGCAGCGAGCGUUGUUCGGAGUUACUGGGCGUAAAGGGUGUGUAGGCGGUUCUUUAAGUUUGGUGUGAAAUCUCCCGGCUCAACCGGGAGGGUGCGCCGAAUACUGAGGGACUCGAGUGCGGGAGAGGAAAGUGGAAUUCCUGGUGUAGCGGUGAAAUGCGUAGAUAUCCGGAGGAACACCGAAGGCGAAGGCAGUGUCCUGGGGAGUACCUGACGCUCAGGUGCGAAAGCCAGGGGAGCGAACGGG